UAANGCGUGGGUAACCUGCCUUAUANAGGGGGAUAACAGUUAGAAAUGGCUGCUAAUACCGCAUAAGACCACAGCACCGCNUGGUGCAGGGGUAAAAACUCCGGUGGUAUGAGAUGGACCCGCGUCUGAUUAGCUAGUUGGUGGGGUAACGGCCUACCAAGGCGACGAUCAGUAGCCGACCUGAGAGGGUGACCGGCCACAUUGGGACUGAGACACGGCCCAAACUCCUACGGGAGGCAGCAGUGGGGAAUAUUGCACAAUGGGGGAAACCCUGAUGCAGCGACGCCGCGUGAAGGAUGAAGUAUUUCGGUAUGUAAACUUCUAUNNUNNGGGAAGAAAAUGACGGUACCUGACUAANAAGCCCCGGCUAACUACGUGCCAGCAGCCGCGGUAAUACGUAGGGGGCAAGCGUUAUCCGGAUUUACUGGGUGUAAAGGGAGUGUANACGGUAUGGCAAGUCUGAUGUGAAAGGNCAGGGCUCNNCCCUGGGACUGCNUUGGAAACUGUCNAACUANAGUGUCNGANAGNCAAGUGNAAUUCCUAGUGUAGCUGUGAAGUGCGUANAUNUUAGGAGGAACACCAGUGGCGAAGGCUUUUGUUGGACGAUGACUGACGUUGANGCUCGAAAGCGUGNGGAGCAAANGGGAUUAGAUACCCNUGGUNGUCCACGCCGUAACGAUGACUACUAUGUGU
rnacentral:rRNA from 1 species